rnacentral:rRNA from 1 species
UACGGGGGGGGCAAGCGUUGUUCGGAAUUACUGGGCGUAAAGGGCUCGUAGGCGGCCAACUAAGUCGGACGUGAAAUCCCCAGGCUCAACCUGGGAACUGCGUCCGAUACUGGAUGGCUUGAAUCCGGGAGAGGGAUGCAGAAUUCCAGGUGUAGCGGUGAAAUGCGUAGGUAUCUGGAGGAAUACCGGUGGCGAAGGCGGCAUCCUGGACCGGCAUUGACGCUGAGGAGCGAAAGCCAGGGGAGCAAACGGG